rnacentral:rRNA from 1 species
CCGAGAAUAUUCGACAAUGGGCGAAAGCCUGAUCGAGCGAUACCGCGUGGUGGAUGAAGUGCUUCGGCACGUAAACAUCUUUUAUGGAGGAGGAAGUUAUUGACGUUACUCCAUGAAUAAGGGGCUCCUAACUCUGUGCCAGCAGGAGCGGUAAUACAGAGGCCCCGAGCGUUACCCGGAAUUACUGGGCGUAAAGAGUGCGUAGGUGGUCGUAUUAGUCGUUUGUUAAAUCCCAUGGCCUAACCGUGGAGAUGCGGGCGAAACGGUACGACUUGAGGGAGUGAGAGGUGAAUGGAACUCUAGGUGUAGGGGUGAAAUCCGUUGAUAUCUAGGGGAACACCGAAAGCGAAGGCAAUUCACUGGCACUUUCCUGACACUCAAGCACGAAAGCGUGGGUAGCGAACGGGAUUAGAUACCCGUGUAGUCC